rnacentral:sRNA from 12 species
CCCUGACAGCGGCGUUGGGCCGCUGACACUUACCCGACAGGAGAUUCUCAUG